GACAGAGGAUGCAAGCGUUAUCCGGAAUGAUUGGGCGUAAAGCGUCUGUAGGUGGCUUUUUAAGUUCGCCGUCAAAUCCCAGGGCUCAACCCUGGACAGGUGGUGGAAACUACCAAGCUAGAGUACGGUAGGGGCAGAGGGAAUUUCCGGUGGAGCGAUGAAAUGCGUAGAGAUCGGAAGGAACACCCAAGGCGAAAGCACUCUGCUGGGCCGACACUGACACUGAGAGGCGAAAGCUAGGGGAGCAAAUGGG
rnacentral:rRNA from 1 species